ACCCCGUGGAGAAUGAGCUGCUGGUGAUGUUGGCUCUGUCCGAGCGUGUCCGAGCGGGGUUUUCAAUAGUGGGUUAGGGAUUGUUAAUAACAAGGGUACCAACUACCGGGUGAGACUUGAGAGGGUAAAUGGAGUUCAUUGUAAGGAUAACCAAUGCAAUGGUAUUGGUCUAAGAUGGUAUUGUUAUCUGGUGUUGAUAGGUUGGAAUGAAAGGUUUAGUGGGUGAUACAGAGGUACAGAGGUGAUACAGUGGAACCCAGGUUGGGUGUGAUAAGCCUCGGCGGACUAGGAUAUUAUGGAUUAGAGGGGGAUUUAUGUAAGGUGGUUUUGGGAUGCAUUAGCGAUAGCAUAGUAAGUUACAGGCUAUUACCCAGAGGAAUUUUUCACACCCAUGUUUAAAGGCUGCAGUAGGUGCCAUUUUCUAGAAUGCAGUUUUAGGGUAGCCCGUGAUUGUGUGGCUCUAACUCUGCAUUGAGGUACGAGUUAACUGUGUUUCGUUUUUUAUGGUAGUGACGUUUGUAAAUCUUUUUUUUUUUGCCAGAGAGAGGUGCCUUUCUUGUAGUUGGUCAAUAGAGCAUUGCCGUGGCCUGCAUAAGCGACAUCUGCAAUAUGCAUAUCCUGCCGAUAUCUCAUCACACGCAUUGUCAGAUAAAUGGCUCUAGGUAUAUUGCCCCUAUUGAUACGAGAUUUCGGCUAAAAAUGGCUAUGUGACACAAUCUAUUUUUUUUCUUCCAUGGCUUGGUGGUUGGCAUCCGACUCUGAACGGCGACGGAUCGGCACACUCGGCGGGGCCGGCCCGCUUUGCCAGAGUCUUCUUUGGCCGCUGGAGGUUUCCUUCACAGCUCCCACGUCAGCUGAGGGAGUUCCGGCCCCUCCCAGCUCAUCUUGCUUCAGUGGUGCUGCCUAGCAGGUCUUACGGGACAUCGUCAGGUAUAGGCCAAGGUGGCCGGGGUUUAAGAAGGUUCCCGCUAAAAAAAGAAGUACAGAGAAAAGUGGAUGAGGGUGUGUGGCAUGACCGCAUGACCAAUGAGCCAAGACCACAUGACCACUUAAACUUAACAAGAAGUGCGCACCAUGAUAAGCACAGUCAAAAACGUUUGCGUCUAAAGAACAGUGCUUUGCCGGAUCAGACUAUUCCGUAUACGCCUUGGGUUGCUGUCGCUGCUCGGUCACCCACAGAUGAAAGUGAUCAAGAAAUGGACAUCACUCAGGUGUGGGAUCACUCGUGGAAGUUCACGGCGGAUACGGAGCCGUGCAUGCAGCUCUGGUUCGAUCCUGCUCAGGGAAGCCCAAUGACGCCGUGGCGCGCAUCUGGGCUGAGCGGGUGGUGGCGGCCGGUGCGCGGGCGCUGCCGCGUGGCUGGUGGCCGCGGCCCUGGCGGCAGCGGCCCGCUCCUGACCCGGUCGCCCUGUGCCGAGCACAGAGCGCCGACUGAGGUCAGUCUUGUGAUCGAGCUUCCGCGCCGGAGGUGGAACAGGUGGAGCUGGCGGUCAUCUGCGCGGGCUCGGCGGCCUGUAAGCCGUGCCGAGACGAACCGCGACACUCUUGCUAGAUCUGCACCCCAUUGUAAUCUUCUGUAGUCGAUAUUCGGUAGGUACUCAAUGCUCAUUUUUCUGAUAUUAGACGAGUGGCGUGUUUUGAUGUUACAUUGGAGACUGCUGUCUCGGGUGGCCCGACAGUGUUCGAUUGUGGUGUAAUGUAGGUAUAUAGACGGGAUGCCGCGGCUCGGAUUCGUAGCUGGACUACCAUGUGCCUGUCGAUUGAGAUGCUUUGCCUGGCGAUUGAGAUGAUUCGGGGCGCGGCCCCACACUGACGCCAUGGUGCAAUGAGUGACUGGCGACAACUAAGCAAUUAUGUACUUUUGUAGAACACAUGUUUUCAUGGAUACGAGAGGCAGUCCUUUUUUCGCUAGCAGUCAUUUGGUUCACGAUACUUUCGAUACCGACAAAUAUGUUCGGGCGGCCGGUCCGUCCACAGCUAAUGCGUGCUUGCCCGCCGAUGCCUAACGGAGCGCUGUGCUGUCUACGCUCACUGGUCGCUGGCCCGAGAGACGUUUGGUUGCUGCUGUUAAAACAGUUCUCACAAAAACACGCUGGCUGGCUGCCAGUUCUUCACCAAUGAGAGGCCCAGUAGCAUCAGCUGGUAGCAUUGUUUAAUAUUACUAUUCCAUUUUGUUUACCCAUAUGUCCGACCUAGAGCCGACUGGUAAAAAGCGGCAACCGAGCAGCCCUCCGCAGCGCUGCAGAUCAUGUACGCUCGAUUAUACACAAUAUAUGUGUCUUUCUUGCACACAGAGACAUGA
rnacentral:lncRNA from 1 species